rnacentral:rRNA from 1 species
AAAGAUUAAGCCAUGCAUGUCUAAGUAUAAGCAAUUAUACCGUGAAACUGCGAAUGGCUCAUUAAAUCAGUUAUCGUUUAUUUGAUAGUACCUUACUACUUGGAUACCCGUGGUAAUUCUAGAGCUAAUACAUGCAAAAAACCCCGACUUCGGGAGGGGUGUAUUUAUUAGAUAAAAAACCAAUGCCCUUCGGGGCUCCUUGGUGAUUCAUAAUAACUUAACGGAUCGCAUGGCCUUGCGCCGGCGACGGUUCAUUCAAAUUUCUGCCCUAUCAACUUUCGAUGGUAAGGUAUUGGCUUACCAUGGUUUCAACGGGUAACGGGGAAU